AAGGGGGUCUCUUUGGGAUGCUCCAGUUAUGGCUCUUCAUUGAAAGGUAAAGCUUAUAAAUCUAUAUUCAAGUAAUGUAAUUUUAUCAUUAGCUUAAAGUUGGACUGAUUAAUGGGAUGUGGUUGUUAUUUGUAUAUGGUUUGACUCCGGGAAGUCCAUGAGAAAUGAGAAAGGAAAUAUUUUUAUGGAGAAUGUAUGAUUGUAAUUGCCUAUUCUGUAUGAAUCAUUGGAUUAAAUUCUGUCGUGAUAUUGAUUUGACGGAGGCCUAUGAAUUGCUAAAUAAGUACUACUCUAAUACGAUCAGUUGAUGAUCUUUAUACUCUCUCUAAAUUUGAGUGCGUAAAGUAGAUGGUUCUGAAAUUAAGAUGCAUGAUCUCUUUCAUAAUGCGAACGUUAAUCACAUGUUAUUUAUCCCGCUUACUACUGUUAUCCUCAGCUAUUUCAUGUUCAAUAAUCAAUUCAUUCUCUGUCGGAAAUAUGUAAAUAGUAGAUCAUGAUCUCUAUGUUGAGGCCUGGCUGAGGGUAGAAAUCCCUUCUAAGGGUUUAACAGAGACCCCUUAAUCACUGGUUCCCAACACAGAUUUUCCAUCACUUCUCUUCAACAGAUUCCCACUGUUUUCGGUGAAUGUUACUUCUUCUAAGCUUUUCUUGCACGUGCUUGUACUGGAGAGUUAAAAAUGACUAGUUUUUGUUUUAAGUGUUGAAUGAACAAACUUUCUUGUAAUUAGUUCUCUUUGUC
rnacentral:lncRNA from 1 species